rnacentral:rRNA from 1 species
AGUGAACGCUGGCGGCAGGCCUAACACAUGCAAGUCGAGCGGCAGCGGGUCCUUCGGGCUGCCGGCGAGCGGCGGACGGGUGAGGAAUGCAUCGGAAUCUGCCCUGUCGUGGGGGAUAACCUAGGGAAACUUAGGCUAAUACCGCAUACGACCCACGGGUGAAAGCGGGGGAUCGCAAGACCUCGCGCGAUAGGAUGAGCCGAUGUCCGAUUAGCUAGUUGGCGGGGUAAAGGCCCACCAAGGCGACGAUCGGUAGCUGGUCUGAGAGGAUGAUCAGCCACACUGGAACUGAGACACGGCCCAGACUCCAACGGGAGGCAGAAGUGGGGAAUAUUGGACAAGGGGCGCAAGCCUGAUCCAGCCAUGCCGCGUGGGUGAAGAAGGCCUGCGGGUUGUAAAGCCCUUUUGUCCGGGAAGAAAUCGUCGGGGCUAAUACCCCGGGCGGAUGACGGUACCGGAAGAAUAAGCACCGGCUAACUUCG